rnacentral:rRNA from 1 species
GAUUUCUGGUACGAUGCGCCUAGCCCUGUCUCGUCAGAGGCACGUGUGCUGGAGUGCGUCUGCCAUCUUUCUAGAGAGCGACGCUAACCUUCAUUGGCUUGGUGUUCGUCAUCUAGAUCUUUUACUUUGAAAAAAUUAGAGUGUUUAAAGCAGGCUUGCGCUAUGAAUACAUUAGCAUGGAAUAAUAAUUUAGGACUUCGGUUCUAUUUUGUUGGUUUCUAGGACUGAAGUAAUGAUUGAUAGGGAUAGUUGGGGGUGCUAGUAUUCAGCGGCCAGAGGUGAAAUUCUCGGAUUCGCUGAAGACUAACUUAUGCGAAAGCAUU